AAUCUUACCUGGCAGGGGAGAUACAAUGAUGAUGGUUUUAGCUCAGGUGGUUUUAGUGACCUAGCAGGGGAAAUCCCCUUCUUCUCAGCCUUGAAUGACUUGGUGUAGCUGAGGGUAGAGACCUGUCCAUUGCACUGCAGGCAGCCCCUACCUGUGAGAGCUUAUUAAAGCCUCCCAAUGGGAAGAACUCAGCUACAUAAUUUAUGGUCAUAGGGGAUUGCUCUCAGGCUUCCCCUC
rnacentral:snRNA from 14 species